rnacentral:tRNA from 2 species
UCGGGUGUGGCCAAGUGGCAAGGCAGCGGGUUUUGGUCCCGCCAUCCUAGGUUCGAAUCCUAGCACCCGAA